AUUGAACGCUGGCGGCAGGCCUAACACAUGCAAGUCGAACGAGUGGCGGACGGGUGAGUAAUGUCUGGGAAACUGCCUGAUAGAGGGGGAUAACUACUGGAAACGGUAGCUAAUACCGCAUACUAUCGGAUGUACCCAUAUGGGAUUAGCUAGUAGGUGGGGUAAAGGCUCACCUAAGCGACGAUACCUAGCUGGUCUGAGAGGAUGACCAGCCACACUGGGACUGAGACACGGUCCAGACUCCUACGGGAGGCAGCAGUGGGGAAGAUUGCACAAUGGGCGCAAGCCUGAUGCAGCCAUGCAGCGGGUAUGAAGAAGGCCUUCGGGUUGUAAAGUACUUUCAGCGGGGAGGCGUUACCCGCAGAAGAAGCACCGGCUAACUCCGUGCCAGCAGCCGCGGUAAUUC
rnacentral:rRNA from 1 species